AUUCCAUGAUGAGGGCACUUUCGUAAUAAUUCUUUAUACCUUUCCCAUACCUCAUACAAGGACUUAUUAUCCAUUUGUUGGAAAGCAGUGAUCUCGUUCCUCAACU
rfam:Gossypium arboreum cultivar AKA8401 contig_41405_3, whole genome shotgun sequence.